CUUGGUCAUUUAGAGGAAGUAAAAGUCGUAACAAGGUUUCCGUAGGUGAACCUGCGGAAGGAUCAUUACCGAGUUCAUGCCCUUCGGGGUAGAUCUCCCACCCUUUGUAUACUAUACCUUUGUUGCUUUGGCGGGCCGCCUAGCUACUGGCUUCGGCUGGUAAGUGCCCGCCAGAGAACCCAAAACCCUGAAUUAUUAGUGUCGUCUGAGUAAAAUAUUUAAUAUUUAAAACUUUCAACAACGGAUCUCUUGGCUCUGGCAUCGAUGAAGAACGCAGCGAAAUGCGAUAAGUAAUGUGAAUUGCAGAAUUCAGUGAAUCAUCGAAUCUUUGAACGCACAUUGCGCCCCUUGGUAUUCCGAGGGGCAUGCCUAUUCGAGCGUCAUUAUCACCCCUCAAGCCUAGCUUGGUGUUGAGACCUGCUGUCAAGGCAGUCUCUAAAAUCAGUGGCAGUGCUGUCAGGCUCUAAGCGUAGUAAAUUCAUCGCUAUAGACACCUGGUGGCCACUCGCCAGAACCCCCCCAUUUUUUAAUGAUUGACCUCGGAUUAGGUAGGGAUACCCGCUGAACUUAAGCAUAUCAAUAAGCGGAGGA
rnacentral:rRNA from 2 species